GAGUGUGGAUGGUUGGCUGAGGGAGCUACAGGACCUUGGACAGAGCAAUGCUAGCAGAGAUGCGGGAAGGGAGCAAGAUGGUAUUCUGGGCUGGCUGCUGGGAGUCAACUGGGACAAGGCCCUGAGGUGUGUAGAUACGUAAAGACUGAAUCCUUUAAGUAAUGAAGGGAUUCAUCCAUCUUAUCCAGAGUUUCAAUCCUUUGAAGGGAAGAUCUUCAACCAUAGAUUGUACCUCUUCAGGAAAUCCUGAGACGUGAAACCAUCAUGCCCUUCGCAUGACUACAACUGGAGACGUUGAUCGGGCAGCUGUGUCGACUGUGUCUAAGAAAGCUUGUAAGGCCAUCCUAGCCAGAAGGUGACCUUUGAGAUAAUUGCCUAGAAUUGUUUUUUUCCCCCCAAAGAUGACUGAAUUUAUUGAGUCAUAUCUGAAUAGUUGGUGUAAUUAAAUUUUGCCAUCAGUGCUUCAUAAUUGGCAAUUUAAAAUUGUGGAGUCGCUGAUAAGUAGGCCUUGCACCCAAAAUGGUCUAACCAUUUCCAAUCUUUAUCAGACAGGGUACUUUAGUAUGGUGUUGCCUGCUCCACUCAUUCAUCGCCUUGACCACCAACUAAUUUGGGGAGGGAUGUGAAAAUAGAAACAUUAUGUCCUUAGAGGGGACAUAAUACUUUUUGUCUGUUCUUUUGCAGGUGGGAGGUACUGUGGCAGGUGUCUGUUAGACAGCCUUAACUGGGUCCAUCAGAGCCUCAUUUAUGGGGAGUGCAAUUUUUGAAGAGGUUGAUGUUUGGAGUAUAUCCAGUAACUUAUGUUGAGACUCUAUAACUUCUUCCAAAGAUAUUUGUAAUGAGUCUGCAAUUCUCUCAAAUAGUUCUUGGAACUGAUUAAAAUCAUUGGCUGUCAGUG